ACGAACGCUGGCGGCUGCUUAACACAUGCAAGUCGAACGGAGUGGCGAACGGGUGAGUAACGCGUGAGCAACCUGCAUUAGACAGUGGGAUAGCCUCGGGAAACCGGGAUUAAUACCGCAUAGUCAUAUAUGGGUUCGCGUCUGAUUAGCUAGUUGGUGAGAAAACAUCGCACCAAGGCGCCGAUCAGUAGACGGUCUGAGAGGAUGAACGGCCACAUUGGAUCUGAGACACGGUUCAAACUCCUACGGUAGGCAGCAGCGGGGAAUAUUGCACAAUGGGGGAAAGCCUGAUGCAGCGACGCCGGGUGAACGAAUUAGGGAUUCGUAUCGUAAAGUUCUGUCCUAUGGGAAGCGGUACCAUAGAAGAAAGCUCCGGCUAAGUACGUGCCAGCAGCCGCGGUAAUUC
rnacentral:rRNA from 1 species